GGACUGUUAAGUCAGAUGUGAAAUCCCGGGGCUCAACUCCGGAACUGCAUUUGAAACUGAUAGUCUAGAGACCAGGAGAGGUUAGUGGAAUACCGAGUGUAGAGGUGAAAUUCGUAGAUAUUCGGUGGAACACCAGUGGCGAAGGCGACUAACUGGACUGGAACUGACGCUGAGGUGCGAAAGUGUGGGGAGCAAACAGGAUUAGAUACCCUGGUAGUCCACACCGUAAACGAUGAGAGCUAGUUGUUGGCAUGCAUGCAUGUCGGUGACACAGCUAACGCAUUAAGCUCUCCGCCUGGGGAGUACGGCCGCAAGGUUAAAACUCAAAGAAAUUGACGGGGGCCCGCACAAGCGGUGGAGCAUGUGGUUUAAUUCGACGCAACGCGCAGAACCUUACCUACCCUUGACAUGCCCUGUUUGGUUCAGAGAGAUCUGAUCCUUCAUUUAGUUGGCAGGUGCACAGGUGCUGCAUGGCUGUCGUCAGCUCGUGUCGUGAGAUGUUGGGUUAAGUCCCGCAACGAGCGCAACCCUCAUCCUUAGUUGCCAGCAGGUUUGGCUGGGCACUCUAAGGAAACUGCCGGUGGCAAGCCGGAGGAAGGUGGGGAUGACGUCAAGUCCUCAUGGCCCUUACGGGUAGGGCUACACACGUGCUACAAUGGUGGCUACAAUGGGAUAAUCCCCAAAAGCCAUCUCAGUUCGGAUUGUCGUCUGCAACUCGACGGC
rnacentral:rRNA from 1 species